GGCGAACGGGUGAGUAAUGCGUGACCGACCUGCCCCAUACACCGGAAUAGCUCCUGGAAACGGGUGGUAAUGCCGGAUGCUCCAGUUGAUCGCAUGGUCUUCUGGGAAAGCUUUCGCGGUAUGGGAUGGGGUCGCGUCCUAUCAGCUUGACGGCGGGGUAACGGCCCACCGUGGCUUCGACGGGUAGCCGGCCUGAGAGGGCGACCGGCCACAUUGGGACUGAGAUACGGCCCAGACUCCUACGGGAGGCAGCAGUGGGGAAUAUUGCACAAUGGGCGCAAGCCUGAUGCAGCGACGCCGCGUGAGGGAUGGAGGCCUUCGGGUUGUAAACCUCUUUUAUCGGGGAGCAAGCGAGAGUGAGUUUACCCGUUGAAUAAGCACCGGCUAACUACGUGCCAGCAGCCGCGGUAAUACGUAGGGUGCAAGCGUUAUCCGGAAUUAUUGGGCGUAAAGGGCUCGUAGGCGGUUCGUCGCGUCCGGUGUGAAAGUCCAUCGCUUAACGGUGGAUCCGCGCCGGGUACGGGCGGGCUUGAGUGCGGUAGGGGAGACUGGAAUUCCCGGUGUAACGGUGGAAUGUGUAGAUAUCGGGAAGAACACCAAUGGCGAAGGCAGGUCUCUGGGCCGUUACUGACGCUGAGGAGCGAAAGCGUGGGGAGCGAACAGGAUUAGAUACCCUG
rnacentral:rRNA from 1 species